UACGUAGGGUGCAAGCGUUGUCCGGAAUUAUUGGGCGUAAAGAGCUCGUAGGCGGUCUGUCGCGUCGGCUGUGAAAACUCGGGGCUCAACCCCGAGCCUGCAGUCGAUACGGGCAGACUAGAGUGCGGUAGGGGAGACUGGAAUUCCUGGUGUAGCGGUGAAAUGCGCAGAUAUCAGGAGGAACACCGGUGGCGAAGGCGGGUCUCUGGGCCGUAACUGACGCUGAGGCGCGACAGCGUGGGGAGCAAACAGG
rnacentral:rRNA from 1 species